UACGUAGGGGGCAAGCGUUGUCCGGAUUCAUUGGGCGUAAAGAGCGUGUAGGCGGCCAGGUAGGUCGGUUGUGAAAACUGGAGGCUCAACCUUCAGAGGUCGACCGAAACCAUCUGGCUAGAGUCCGGGAGAGGAGAGUGGAAUUCCUGGUGUAGCGGUGAAAUGCGCAGAUAUCGGGAGGAACACCUAUGGCGAAGGCAGCUCGCUGGGACGUUACUGACGCUGAGACGCGAAAGCGUGGGGAGCAAACAGG
rnacentral:rRNA from 1 species